rnacentral:rRNA from 1 species
GAUGAACGCUAGCGGGAGGCUUAAUACAUGCAAGUCGAGCGGUAACUAAUUAAUAGCAAUAUUAGUUGGCUAGAGCGGCGCACGGGUGAGUAACGCGUACAUAACCUACCCUAUACUGGGGGAGUAGCCUUGGGAAACUGAGAUUAAUACCCCAUGGUAUUGUUUGGCCGACCUGGUUGAAAUAAUUAAAGUUGCGGCGGUAUAGGAUGGGUGUGCGUCUGAUUAGCUAGUU